rnacentral:rRNA from 1 species
CCUACGGGUGGCAGCAGUAGGGAAUAUUGCUCAAUGGGGGAAACCCUGAAGCAGCAACGCCGCGUUGAGGAUGAAGGUUUUCGGAUUGUAAACUCCUUUUGAUAGAGAAGAUAAUGACGGUAUAUAACGAAUAAGCACCGGCUAACUCCGUGCCAGCAGCAGCGGUAAUACGGAGGGUGCAAGCGUUACUCGGAAUCACAGGGCGGAAAGAGCGCGUAGGCGGGAUAGCAAGUCAGAUGUGAAAUCCUAUGGCUUAACCAUAGAACUGCAUUUGAAACUGUUAUUCUAGAGUAUGGGAGAGGUAGGUGGAAUUCUUGGUGUAGGGGUAAAAUCCGUAGAGAUCAAGAGGAAUACUCAUUGCGAAGGCGACCUGCUAGAACAUAACUGACGCUGAUGCGCGAAAGCGUGGGGAGCAAACAGGAGUAGAUACCCGAGUAGUC